CCCGGGUUGGCUCUGCCCCUGCAUCGGGGAAGCUUAGCUGCUGGAGACCUGAUCUUUUUGGACACGUCCAUGCUCGCUGCAUAAAGCAGGGAGCUCCUGAAGCCAUGGAUAAAUUUGACCUGAUCAAGAUCAUCGGGGAAGGCACCUUCGGGAAGGUGUACUUGGCUAAAGAUAAAUCAGAAAGCUGUCACUGUGUCAUCAAGGAGAUCAGCUUGACGAAGGAAAAAGAAGCUUCAAAGAACGAAGUGACUCUUCUGGCUAAGAUGAAGCAUUCCAACAUUGUAACCUUCUUCAGCUCAUUCCAAGAGAACAGCAGGCUGUUUAUUGUCAUGGAAUACUGUGACGGAGGGGACCUCAUGGAAAGGAUACAGAGGCAGCGGGGAGUGUUAUUCAGCGAAGACCAGAUCCUGUGUUGGUUUGUACAGAUUUCUCUAGGACUGAAGCACAUUCAUGACAAGAAGGUAUUACACAGGGACAUAAAAUCUCAGAAUAUUUUCCUUAGCAAGAAUGGAAUGGUUGCAAAGCUUGGGGACUUUGGAACAGCGAGAACACUGAAUAACUCCAUGGAACUUGCUCAAACAUGUGCUGGGACACCUUACUACCUGUCGCCAGAGAUCUGUCAGAACAGGCCGUACAACAACAAAACGGAUAUUUGGUCUCUUGGCUGUGUCUUAUAUGAGCUCUGCACACUCAAGCAUCCCUUUGAGAGUGACAACUUACACCAUCUGGUUCUGAAGAUUUGUCAAGGACGUGUUGCUCCCAUAUCACCCCACUUCUCUCUUGACCUACAGUCUUUGAUACCUCAGCUCUUCAGAGUGUCUCCUCAGGAUCGACCAUCCAUUAAUUCCCUUUUGAAAAGGCCCUUUUUAGAAACUCUUGUUGCCCGGUACUUGUCCCCUGAGAUCCAUUCCAGAAGAAUUCAGUCCCAUGCUCGCAUGGAGAACGCGGCUGUCGGCUUCACAGCUUGUUGGAGAGGUAGUCCAUGGUCUGCUGCAUACCUUCAGAGGAAAUCUGAAGCUCGGCAAUAUAAGUUAAAAGUGGAAAGACAAUUGCAGGACUUAGUCUACAGCUACGACGGACCAGUUCAGUCAAUGGCACAGGGUCUUCGCCCAUCUUCUGUGGAGGCGCAUCCAAACGAGAGAGAAAAUCUACAAAGCCAUCGAGAGGAGACUAAAUUCCAGGAGCUUCGGUACAGGAAGAACAAAAUGAAUGACCAGGAAUAUUGGAAGCAGCUGGAGGAAAUCCGCCAACAGUACCACAACGACAUGAAGGAAAUUAAAAAGAAAAUGGGGAGAGAGCUGAAGGACUGCGUGAGCCUGAACACAGCUGACGUCACUCUUGAAAAGACCAUAACGGAGCUACACUGGAAACUCGUCCUUCCGUAUUUCAGGUUUCUAGAAUUGCAGCAGAUGACCAUGUCUUCAGUGCGUGAUGUAGCCAGCCUGUGUCUGACCUGCUGUUUAAAAACAUACAGGGAUUCUGCUGCCAUGAAUAUCUGCAGCCCUCUGGGUUGCUCCUUUUCUGAGGCCCACUGGGCUGUGCAGAGCUCACCUAGCAGAAUUAGGGGAACAGACCUGCCAUGCUGCUGUGGCAGACCUGCCUCCUCUAGCCUCUUCAGCCUCCAAGGGCGUGAGCAAACUAGUCUGAGCACGAGUGUGGGGAGGGUUUUCAGUGGACCUUGCUUAUGUCCUGUAACAGAAAGUGCAGCAAGCUUCCAUCUCCCAAGUCACUUAGCGGUCACAAGCCAAGAGGAUGCCUCUGUCAUAUCUGCCUUCUGGCAGACGCACGUCCACUCAUAGGCACAUGUGUAUGGAAUGAUAACGAAGAAAGUCUGCUGUUCUCAAGCCUCAUAGGAGCAAAGAUGAGAAGGCCAAGUGGGUGUAGGCUCAUGCGGAAGAAGUUGAUGGGGUGGGGGAGGGGAUUGGCCUGAGAAGAAUGAGAAGGUCUGCGCUAAGUGAUGUGUUCUAAGUGAGAGGGAGAGGGACCCCAUGAACGACCAACAGCCAUGCCUAUCGGGACCUCACCAAAGUUCCCAGAAUUCCAACUGUCACACAAUUGCAGAAACUCUCUGCAGCGGGCCAAACCACGUCUCUGCUAGAGCAUGAGGCCAAGCAUAGUCAGCUGCUGCAGCCACUCAGAAGCAGCCCCAAAUCAAUGCACCUGGGAUUGAAACAAAACCACAUUCUUAUAAUAUUUCGGUGUUUUGUUUUGUUUUUUAAAUGAAACUGAAAUUCCAAAUUCUCGCUAUUGCAAGUAGCUUCAGAGCUGAUCUCGUCGACUGUGUGUAACCUGUAUUCCAGGAGAAUGCCGGCCUCAGUCAUAGAACCUAUUUGGUAAAGAGGAGUAACCUGCCCUCCUGCCCUGAUGCUCCUGAGGACAAAGUCUCAAAGCAGAGAGGGGUAAAGUUUGAAAUCAGCCUAGAUGAAUGCAUUUCAGAGGAAGACACUAUC